ACUCAGAGAAAAAAAUGUACUAGCAGGGUCCCAUGUCUAUAUGUCAAGAAGGUGAAGGGCUGUAAUAAUGGUCAGAGACCUCAAAAACUUGCCUCAGGGUGAGAAUCAAUGAAUGUCGCUGGAAAGCAACUGAUGAGACCAUUUUCCAAACAGAGUUCCAAGAAGGUUCUGAGAAACUACAGACUGCCCAGUGCUGCCCAGUGAGAAGCCAUCUCUCGCUGUUCUGUCACGGCCACAAUGAGUGCCCAAGAAGCAUCAGGGGAUGUGACUUUGUGCCUCUCCCUCCAUGGACUUCAUGCAGAGGCUGCUAAGGCUGUGUGUGAGGAGGCAUCCUGUUUGAAGAGGCGAGAAGGGAAAGAGGAAGAGAAAUAAGAAGAAUUGUUUUAACCAAAAGAGGAGGCAGGUGAACUUCAUGAAGCAUCAGMUUUGCAGGCCAUUCAUUUGAGUAGCUGGCUGCACCUCACCCAUGUCAGCACCAAUAAAAGUCCUUCUAAACUCAGCAUGAGUAACCAUGAGCCUUCUAAUUUUGCUUGAUUUUCACAGCUGGGAUGCUGAAGGCAUCAAUGAAAUAUUUAUUUUUGCCUUUGUUUUAAAAAGUCCCCGSAAGGGAAAUUUGCCCUUCACCUGCUUCCCACGUGGAAAGACCAGCUGCUUUUUCAGGCUCAGUUUCUAGACACAGAGCUGCCCUCAGCUGACAUUCUUCUAUAAGAAGAUUGCUAAUAAUGCUAGUCAUUUACAAUCUAUUUUCACUCUGGGAAUGGAAUUUCAAAGGAGAGRUCUUUAUGCCUGCUGCUUAAAAAGGAUUUGAGCACUUUGUGAGAGAGUGCACUUAAAACUCAUUUCAACAUCUUGUUCCCCAUUGCCUCCUAUCCUUGUAAUGCUUCCUGUGUCAUCUGUGGCUCCAUUCCCACUCCCCUAUAUGGAUUUUUUUCAGCUUUCAAAAUGUGACAUUGAUAAACAGGGCUGAUGCCAUCCUACUGAACUGUGUGGCCACCAUGGCCACGGGCAGUUGCAGCCGACACGCAUGCCCUGUUCAGGAAGGCCGUUCUCAGCGUGCCAAUGCAUUGGGGCCAAUCCCUUCAGCAGUGAAACUGAGGAGCAACACGACAGCUGUGUGAGAUCAUUGUGCUGCAGGAGCUUAUCCAGCGGGGCAAUGUUUUGGAGACUGGCACUGCAUGUUUUCCUGGCUAAACAGUCUGCUCUGCCUGGUUACAAUGUCAUUUUAUUUAUUGAACUCAGAGAGGAUUUCUUACUGUUUCUGUGAUUAAAGCUGAGAUGUGAUGGCCAGAAAAAUAUAUUUUCCUUGAACUCUAUGCAACAAAAAGCAAUAUUGUGGGGACAGUGUUGUCCCUACAGUUCACUU